CACGUAGGGUGCGAGCGUUGUCCGGAAUUAUUGGGCGUAAAGAGCUCGUAGGCGGUGUGUCGCGUCGGCCGUGAAAACCUGCAGCUUAACUGUGGGCUUGCGGUCGAUACGGGCAUCACUGGAGUUCGGCAGGGGAGACUGGAAUUCCUGGUGUAGCGGUGAAAUGCUUAGAUAUGACACAGAACACCGAUUGCGAAGGCAGCUCACUAAGCUGUAACUGACACUGAGGCACGAAAGCGUGGGGAGCAAACAGG
rnacentral:rRNA from 1 species